GCCUCCACUGUAUGGUGAUUACUACACGAUAAGCUUGUAUUUGACGUUUAUCUGUUCAGUUUUGAUUCUGCUUGUUAUUCUAAAUAGUGAAAUUGCUUCACGGACGGUGAAAUAGACUGCAAUGAGCUGACGAUGAUUAUUCAGAUUCUCAAUUUACUCAAAUAUUCCUAGAUGUGCGGGUGGAGUUAUGCAUGCUGUAGCAAAUAAGGGUAUUUGUGUAGCCUGAACGAGAGAUUCCGAGGCGCGACGAAGGGAUUGCUUGUAGUUUUGAGAUGUUUUUGAAGUCAAUCCCCCCUCCCCGCGGAGCUCGAAGCUACCAAACUAAAAUCCACACCAAAUAAAAUAAUGCCGUAUAUCGAGUUCAAAAAUAUUAUAAGAGAAAAAAAAGAAAAGCAAAUGAUAAAUGAAUGAAAGAUAAAUGGGAAAAAAGAUAAUAAUAGAAAUAAAAAAUGCUUAUUUACCUAAACGAAAAUUUUUCAAACAAAUUCCGAAAUUUCACUGAUUUGUCUUACCAAACUUAUAAUUAACUAAGCACUAAAUCAAAUUCAACUAAGAUACUAAUUUCAAAAUUAUUAUUUACAGAAAUCUACAAAUAAACCGUUGGUUGGGCGCCAAAUGUAAUGGGACAGGGGAAGAGGAAGAUAAGGUUCGGAAGGAACAACCUCCACUUAAAGCGCCAGGCAGAAAAACUGCCGCGAAGGUGCGUGUUCUAAUCUCUGUUUAAGUCCCGGUCCCGGCCAAGAUCCUCAGGGCGAGUCCUUUCUCCAAUCUACAACCCUCACUCGAAACCUUGACGCUACCAAAAACCAAACCGAAAGACUAACUAUUUGCAAAAUAUGUACAAUAUUAGGGUGAGUCGGUUAC